rnacentral:tRNA from 1 species
AGUCUUAUAGUCAAAUAAUGAUGUAAAAUUGCAAAUUUUAAGGAAUAAUAAUUAAUUAUUAUUAAGGCUU